rnacentral:rRNA from 1 species
UGCGUAGGCGGACUAAUAAGUCAGUGGUGAAAUCUUUCGGCUCAACCGGGAAACUGCCAUUGAUACUGUUAGUCUUGAGUUCGGUUGAGGUAGGCGGAAUGUGUAAUGUAGCGGUGAAAUGCUUAGAUAUUACACAGAACACCAAUUGCGUAGGCAGCUUACUAGACCGACACUGACGCUGAGGCACGAAAGUGUGGGGAGCGAACAGGAUUAGAUACCCUGGUAGUCC